AUCUUUAGCAGAGAUGUUAGUAUGCCCACGUCAUAGCUCUGUGGAAAGUGUAAAGGUGAGCUUUAUUCAGAAAUGGUAGAAAUUUUUGCAACCAAUAAACAGGGACUGGGUGUGUUACUGUGUUGUUGUGCUUCAACAUAACUCAGCAGGUGUUUACAUCUGUUUACUUCUUUCCUGCUCUCUGUGCUCACAUAUACUGUAUCUUAACACAACUGAAUCCCACAAAGAGGGACGCACAGUGCCUCAGUGGUUAGCACUGUCACCUUGUAGCUAGAAGAUCCCCAGUUCAUGUCCCGGCCUGGAUCUGGGAUCUUUCUGCAUGGAGUUUGCAUGUUCUCCCUGUGCAUCGCUGUUCCCUCUAAGCUGCGCGCGUGCGCAAUUGCGCACUGCUGACACGGUCUCCGCGCACAGAAAAUGUGCACUGCGCACAAAAAAAAAUAAUCCAACCUAAACUGUAAAUAAAAUAAACACGUAACAAUUCAUUCUGUGCUAUUUUUCAGUGUGAGUCAGUGAGUGACCGGUGACUGGCUGCUGCAGCCAAUGAUGCGAUUCACAUACGUAUUUACCAUAGACUGUAUAUAAUGGUAUUUACGCAGCUAAUCAACGUCAGGCGUCCUUAUGUGCAGUCACCGUUAGAUAUGAAUGAGUAGAUAGGACACGCCCCUUUGAGCUGCGUGCUACGGUGAGGCUAAGCUAGUGGGGGCAAAGUUUCAGUGCAUUCCGUUGAUGUAGACGGCAUGAAAACGGAAACAAGUAUGCCGGCUCACUGUGCUGCAUACAAUUACACACUACGUCGUACGAUUGAGACAAGGAAACUUGGAAUGACUUUUCAUAGGUUUCCCAGAGACUAUGGGUUGAGGAGGAAUUGGAAGUUUGUCGGCUUAGACCUGGUGUCAUUCCAUCAGUGUUAAACUUCCUGGCUCAUCUUGGAAGAGUACGUGCCAGAAAGACCACGACCAAGCAGCCUUGAGAUCUUAGCCAGCGUCUCCCUGAGGUCCCUCUCUAUCUCCCUACACAUCCACCAACCACUGGAACACAUCUCCAAAGUUCUGCUGGGCCAGCUCAGCUUCCCCUCAGAAGAAGUGCCGCCACCUGCCAGAUGAAGGAGCCUUUUGAGAGGCAGCUGGCAUCGUGAUUGGACUGUACUUUGGUCUGUUCCAAUCCAGCUUCAGCUCCAGAGACGGCAGGCGGGACGAGUCAACGGAGGCCGGGUGGACGAAGGCAUGCAGCUGAGUACAAUCCAGAAAACAACAGAGGAGGAGUGCAGCGGCCCAGAGCCAGAACAACCAGAAUAGGAUAGUAUGUCUCUUAGAAAACAUCAUAGUAUAGUCUUUGGUAUGAAAAAACACCAUCAUAUACAUCGUAUAUUGUACAAAUAACAAGUCAAAGGAAAGAGACAUACAUUGUAGAAUUGUAGUAAUUGUGGGCUGACUGAUUUACUGAUUAUCAGUAUUUUAUUUUUUACUGAUUUACGGUAAUAAAUACAUUUAAAAAUGGUGCUA